CACAGACCACGCAGGAGGAAGGAGGAGGGAGUCAGAGUAGGAACUCUGACUCCCAUCAACCUGAGCCACCACUGGACCCCAGGGAAUGUCACCCUCUUGCACCUAAAAGGUAGGAAACAGGAGGGUGACUAAAAUAUUUUGUGUGUGUGUCUUUGUAUGUAUGUGUGUCAUGUUUGUGUGUCUGUAUAUAUGUGUGUAUGUAUGUGUCUUUGUAUGUAUGUGUGUCUUGUCUUUGUAUGUAUGUAUAUGUUGUGUGUGUGUGUGUGUCUUUGUAUGUAUAUGUGUCUUGUGUCUGUAUGUAUGUGUGUGUAUGUGUCUAUGUAUGUAUGUGUUGUGUGUGUAUGUAUGUAUGUGUGUAUACCUACCUUGUGUGUUUCUGUAUGUAUAUGUCUGUAUGUAUGUAUGUAUGUGUGUAUGUGUUUGUAUGUAUCUGUCUGUCUGUAUGUGUCUAUGUGUGUGUCUGUAUGUAUGUAUGCACGUGUCAUGGUUGAUUAUAUAUUUCCUGCCUGUUCUAUGUUAAAUUUUGUAUAUAUUGUGUAUU